GUUUGUGUAAAUAUUUGGGGCUAAAGCUGCUUCUCUCUUGGUGUAUUUUUCGGACCCUGCAGGUGAUUUCUGCCUCUCUGGCUCGGCUCCAGAAGCUCCACUCAGAAGCAGCUUUCAGCUGGAGCUUCAAACAGGAACGAGGAGGUUAUUGGGCGCGCUGCUCAGCGGAUGAGGAGGGAUCAGCCCGGACUGAGAGAAAUACCUCCAGGAGGACAGACGUUCAGGAAUAGAAGCAGCGAUCGUCCUCGAGUGGGAAAACCUCCCAGCUGAUCUUUAUUCAUGCCGUCGUUUGACAAGAUUCUGCAGCAACAGGUAACAUCCGGCGACGCUGGAGCCCUUCAUUUGGUUUUAUUAUUCGGGUCGUUUAAGGACACAGCUGAGGAAAAGUUUGGAUCUGAAAAACUCAGUUUACCACCAAACAUUUAUUGAGUAUCCGAUUUAAUGGAACACGAAGUUUUGAACAGAACAUUUCAGUGUAAAGUAAUCUCUGUAGCGACUGUCUUACAUCACAAAUCUGUAUUUUUUCAUCUGCUCCUGAAUCACAAUGCUUGAAAUAAAUACUCACAAAUGCAAAUUAUAGGUAAAUCUCUUUAUAUAUGCCCUUUAUCAUCAGAAAAAUACCACAGAAACGUAUUAAAAACACUAAAAUUUUCAUCAGACUGGGUCUUUCACCCUUUAACUACCCAGAAAAGAAAAAAAAAAACACACAAAAAAAGUAAUUUUUUCUGCUGUUAAUUGCCUUGUUAUGGAGCCACAAAAGGGACAUUAAAGCUAAAAAAAAAAAAAUAAAAA